rnacentral:lncRNA from 1 species
UUUUUUUUAUUUUCUGUUUUUUGCACAGGUUACAAAAUGUAUAAUUGGACAAAAUAUAGACAGCACACAUCAACAACAUAUUCAUCGAAUACAAUAGAAGAUUAGUCUCUGAAUACAAUUCAUCAUUUUAGUCUCUGAAUACAAUUCAUCGUAUUAGUCUCCGAAUUGAAAAGACCAAACAAAGAUAGAACAUUAUAUUACAAGUCUCGAGACCGCGAGUUUGUCUUCACAUUACAAGUCGAUAUCGAUCAUCUAAACUACCAUCACAUAGAAGAGAGCUGCGGUCAUCACGAUGAGCAUCAUCACGAUGAAACUCGUCUUCAUCCGGUUCCUCCAACGCUCCCUCCCCUCUCCCGCUAGAUAGCGGGCGUAUCUAGAUUCGGCCUCGGCCCUAGUGGCGUACCCUUUGUAACUGUUACCGCUAAAUCGGUGAACCUGUCUCCGACACUCCUCCCAGUCGUCGUAGACUCCGGGAACCUUACCCUUGUACACGACAUACCACGGCAUCGCUAUGCAGUAGCCAAACGAAACGUUAGUACCAAUUCACAGACAAUACAUAAGCAAUAUAUAAGUAUGCAACAGAACGAUCGAAAGAGAAAAGCAAGACAUUAAUAGCAUCGAUUACAUCUAAGUUGAACGACUCUCGAAACCAAAGAGACAUACUACAAGUUCAUUAAAGUUUAAUUACAACAUGAGCCAAUCGAUGUUUCAGAACUAGACACAGCAUCACUGCUUUCGACUCGACUCAAGGGACCGGAGCGUGGAUGAAGCCGCCGUCUAUCGUGGGAGUCAUGAAACAACCGGCGUUGUCAGCCUGCAUUUGUAGGAUUGUGUCGAUGUCACUAUUGGACGGUUGAUUUCUGAGGUAGAACUGCCCCGAGGUACGAAGGACAUCUUGAUGGAUGAUUUCCGCAAACUCCGACUGGAUGCGAAAGAAUUCUUGUCUGAUGUCCGCGUCCUGGAUUGUCGACACGCUCGCGGCCCAAUCUUUGAGUCUACUCGGUAGCAGAAGUUGAUGAUGGUCCCGUAUGAUCGCCUGCAUGUGAUGGAUGGCGUAGUAGGCACCCUUCUGACCGCCAAGCGGCUGCUUGACGCAGCAGAAUGUCGUAUUGUGGGAGAACACGUGCUUGCCGUACUUACGAAUAGGCCUGGUGAAGGUGCCUCCAGAUUUGACGUAGCCGGGGAGAACAUCAUCAAGAACCUUCUUGACAUUUGUGUAGUCUACGUUCGACUGACGCUCCGGGUCGAAAUACGUGGCCAUGGAAUAUUUGGGGCUUAGGAGGAUGAGCGUGCAAUGUGUGUCACUGCAAAAAACACGGAAUGUUAAAAGAAAAACGAUCGAAAUCUAAGAAUUCAUAUGUUACGGGGCGGUUGAGGGGUGGACUUACUCGGGAAAGUAAGGCACGAGGAAGUUAUCCUUAUCUUGGUUUGCCAGAAUGAUGCCUUCGAGGUAAGAACUCGCGACUUGCUGGUCCCCAGCGCUGCCCAAGAUGUUGGCACGCAUGUAGAAGGGGUCGACUAUCACGAUGUUCGGGGUCUUGUCGCGAAUGAUACGCAUCUCCAUACUCAGCGAAAAUAGCCGAACGAAGGUGUAGUGCAGCGGAUGAAGGUUCAACAUAGCGUGGAUGUCAUCAAACCGCAGGACGAUCGUACCCUCGAUGGAGUUAUCCACAAAGCCCUUGCCCUCUGGCACCUUGGCCGCGAAAACCGGGUAUGCCACAUCCUUCUCUCCGAGACGCCGCUUCUCCAAAGAAAGAACACUGUCAAGCAGACUCCGCAUAGCACCGGUUGCAGCAUCGAGCAUUUUUCUCGGUAGCAUCGGCCUACCCGCCACAUGCACCCUCCUCGAGAUAUCCUCAGGUGAAGGUGGCCCGUCCUGAGCACGGAUCGUACUCGGUGCCGGCUGGCCCGCACCCUUGUUAGUCUUUCUUUUGCGUGCCUUCUUCUGCUCCUGUAAUGGGACCGAGUUCUGCUCACAGACCGCCUUCUUGAGUGUGUUGGGGCUGAUCAUAUUUCGCACCUCGCCUAUCUGAGGCUCGGUGAAGUCGGUAGCUGGAGGCGUCUCCUCAGAGCUGAACUGCAGACGACGCCUGUUGCAACUUGGCUUCUCUGUGGUACCAGCUAGAUCGCGCACGUCUUUUGUUGGGUUGGGUUCUUGAGAAGGAUGCCCCAUGAAGACGCCACCGUACCCAUGAUCGGCAAACUACUGAUCAAUGUUGGCAAAUGUAUCGCCGUCGUCGUCGUUCUGAUCCUGUGCCAUAUGCAUGUUUGGAUCCAGUGGCAUAGGGAUGUUCGGCACCGUUGCGGCGGUCUUGCCAUGGGGCCGACUUGGCGCCGGCACGACUGGCGGUGUUGUCUUUGGGGUGGUGUCCCCCGCCCCCAAACGAAUCUGGCUCUUCGGGCAAAGCAGGGGCCAGCUCAGGUAGGCGCUGAGGGUCAUCACGUCAUCAUCGUCGGCCCCGACGGGUCGAAUCGGAGGUAACAACUCAUCGCAGCCUGGCAGCACCCAAACCAGUUGAACCCUAAACAAGUUGGGUGGCAUCUGGGUACCGUGGAACAAGGGGUUGCCCGGUUGAACGAUUUUGCCCUUGGCGACAUCGACCAACUCGUUGUUCACGAAGUGCAGGAGAGUGCACGGAACGUCGGCGGCACCCUGCGAAAACAUGUAGGGCGUCAGGGAUGCCCAGUCAAAGGCAAGGAGAUGAAGUCCUCGGCCGAGAGAGGCUUAAUUAGUUACCGUGAUGAUGGCAUCGAGCUCGGCUAAUGUCGAGGCACCACCAAUGGCGGGCGUGCAGUUGACGAAGGGGCCGCUUGCUGCAGAGGUGUCGGCCGACGUACACCCGGGUGCAUUAAGCUCCCGUGCCGGCGUCGGAGACACCAAUGCCGCCUCCGCCGGAGACACCAAUGGCCCCGCCAUCGCGUUCUGCGAGUUGCUGGCCGUGAAGCUAGGAAUCGGGGGCGGCCCCUGUUUGCCUCCCGCAAUCCACGCACUAAUCCCCUGGAUCAAGGUAGGCACAAUGGCGGUGAUCGUCGCUCCGAGUUGUUGUUGCACUUGCUCUUGGACAAUCUCUGGAAUCCGCGCCACCUGUGCCCUGAGUUCUUGAACCUCACGCGCCUGGCUUUCCAAGCUGGUCUUUUUCUCCUUUCGCCCACCAGUGUUAUAGUAUGACGACCAUUUUGUCGACAAGCCUUUGCCGGCCACACGACUAGCUGAUGUCGGCUUACUGAGCUUAUCCUUGUUCUUCAUUACAUUCAAUGCCCUAUUUAGAGUGGUGUCCCAAGGGUUGCUCUUAGUCGACCCCGCGCUACUGCUUUCAGUCGCCUGCGGAAGGAAUGUGAACCAUUUAGAAAUUUGGCUUCAUUAAUUAGAAUGCAACCAUAUGGAGCUAAUUACGCGGGGGUGUAUUCCUUACCAGAAGAAGCUCAAGCGCCCUGGUCUUCGGAUCCGUGGUAAGCUCCUUUGUUUUCGGGUCCUUCUUGUACCGGGCCCUGACAAAGUUCCUGGUUUGCUUGUCACCGUAUUUAUCGAAGAGGGGCGGUAGGCCUUGCUCGGCACGGUCCGCCUCCUCCUUGUCCCAUAUAGGCUCCGCCACUCUGUAACCGCCGGGAUCGAGUGUGUGUUCCCCUAAGUUCUGCUCCCGCAUUUCUUUCCCCCACUUACUUGAUUUGGAGUUUGCGUGCUCGAGCAAUUGAUCUUGAAGUCGUUGUAGUCAUCUUCGGUAAUCGAAGGAUUUUUCUCCUUGAUCUUCUCAUAACUCUCACCUUUCUCGAUCAUUCUCUUCACAUUGCUUUUCCAAGUAGACAGGGCCUUGCUCAUCUUCGUGAGGGCAGCAUUGUUCACUUUAUUCCCUUUGAGGCUUGUGUUUUCAAAUUCAGCGGGGAACUUGUAUCGUUCAUGCAGCUUCGUGAAGAGGAGGUUGCGCAAAUUCCCUCGGUUAGGAUGCCUCAGGUUCUCGGUGUUGAUCGAGACGGUGCUCCGAAGAAUGCACCCGAGCUGAAGCGAGUACCCCUUGACUAUUUGUUCGGGCGCCGUUGGAUUCCCGUCGGAGUCCACUUCAGUAACUUCCUCCUUGAGGGUGCGGAGCACGGUCGGGCGCCGGUCCUUCCGUUGCCUCUUCGGUUGGCUGCCAUCUGUGCGUGCGCCGCCAUCAUCAGUGGUGGCAUCCUCGGCGGCACCAUCAGUGGUGGCAUCAGUGGGGUCAUCCUCGGUGGUACCAUCAGUGGUCUCAGGAUCGGUGGGGAAGGCGGCGUCCUCAUACAAGUGAGGUUGUUCCUCCAUCUCCUGGGGCAGCUCCCAGAAUUUCUUGCCGCCCGAACCCCCGGCCUCAUCAUUGUUGGCCAUGUUUCUCUAUAAAUAGGAACAAAGUUUGGUCAAAAAGUUGGUUAUUGUCAAGGAACAAGAUCAUGGUCUCAUCAUUUAGGGUUUGUCGACACCGAGGCAUCCUAAAAGCUAAGCUUUUAUCAUUGAGGGUUUUUCGACGCCGAGGCACCCUAAAAGCCUAAGCUUUCAUCAUUUCGGUUUUUAUCGACACCGAGGCACCCUAAAAGCCAUGCAUUAGUCACAAGUACGCCGGGGCACUUGAUCCUACUUAAUUAACUACUAAGAUACCCCGGCCCAUGCAUUAGUCACAAGUACCCCAUAUGUCCUAUUUUUAGCAAAGUCAUGCUAAAAUUCACGGAAAAUUUCAGCAUGACCUUUGCUGAAAAUAGGACAUAUGGAGUACCCGAAUUUUGCCGGAACGGAAGUUAAUCGACAUUCCAGCAAACUCAAGGGCCUCUCGGGUGGACAAGGCAAAAAAGGCCUCCAUCACAACAUGGAAAAUACAUUGGCAUGUGAAAAAAGGCCUCCCUUGCUUAGGAUGCACUGCCACUGAAGCAUGUGAAAAAAGGCCUCCAUUUCGUGAUUUACUUCAUGAGUUAGACCAGAGAUAUGUUUUUCUUCUUCUAUAAACUUGGUCAAACUUUACAGAAUCUGACUUAGAACAAAGCUAACACGUCUUGAUUUCAGACAUGAGGAACUAGAUGAUCGGGUUCACAGAAAUGAAACAGGUAGACAACGCCAUCAUUUACGGCAAACAUCACUUACACAGAAAUGAACAUGAUAAUUACUUGCACAGAAAUGAACAUGAUAAUUUUCUGGACAUAAUGUCAAGGCUCUGCUCUUGCUCAGGCUGCAGGAAAUCCCCAGUCUAGAUGCUACAGUUGAUUUGAUGUAUUGAAAAGAUAUGAACAUCUAAAAUACCUAAAUAAAUACUCCCUCGGUAAACUAAUAUAGGACGUUUUAGAGACUUGUGUAGGGAGUACAUACACUAGGGAAACACGGUUGAAGAUUUAUCAGCUGAUGUUAAUUUGGUAUGGUAUUUUCUCGCUAAACUUUGGUCAGAGUUCACAAGGUUUGGCUCAGAAGUCAGAACAAAACUGACAUGUCAUGGAACGGACGGAGUAGAUAGUUACAUUCACAAAAAUGAACCUAGUAAACAAAUCAUUUACGGUGAACAACGCCCCCCUCUUCACAAACUAGACAAAAAAGACAUCAGUUUGAGCAUGGCUACAAACUUGCAGCAGCAACAUAGAAACCCGGCGGCCAGCUGUCGACUCACUUUGCGCUACAGAUAUAUAGCUAAAAUUUAUCCACAACAAAUAAAAAACAAAAUGGAGACCAACAUGCCACAUGACAACGCACGACCGAAAUAAUGAGGGAAAAGGCUAGAUGCAUAUCCAUCUAGGGUUGCUGCAGGUAUAGCAAACUAGCCAUAUCAUAUUUGUCGCAGAUUUAAUCAAAUGCAUUAUUAUUUAGUUCUCUUCACAUGAAGAGGAUGACCAAAGCCUAUCAGGAUACAAAACUAGGAGGAUCACCAUCUAGAAUUUUUUUUGAAACCGUAGAAACCAAUGAAUCUCUGCAUAUUAGAAGAAAAACGAGCCUCUUCUGAAGAUAGACAUAACAGGGGAAC